CACAUGAUCUAAAGUGGAGUCCAACAGGCAGUAACAAACACUGCAGCUUUUCUUACUUUCAGAGUGAUCUCUGCAAAAAAAUUAUAGCAAGAGGGCUUGGAGGAGCACCCUUGUGGACAGAAUGGAAAGGGAGAGUGUAUAGAGGAGAAAUGUGCAGCAAAAGGGAAGAGACAGGCAGCAGGACAUGGUAGCACUUUUCAAGCACCAGAUGGAUAUGCUGGAGACUAUUACAGACCCUCAGGCCCAGAACCAGCACACAACUGUCUGCAACUGCUCCGUGAAUUCCAGCAACAAUCUUGAAUUGAAUCUUUCUGUGUCUAUGCAAGUCAGCCUACAAGGUAUCGUCAUAUCCCUCAUGGCUCCUCUGGCAGCUCUGAAGGACCAGAUGAAGCACUUCAUAAAUGGAAAGGGCAAAUAUUUGGACCCCUGACCCACCAUGGUUGAAAAUCACAGAAGAAAAUGAAAGGCCAAAGACUAGUGAACAACACUUUCAUUCACCCCUGUUGAGAAGGAGUAAGACAGACUGAUGGCUUUUCUUGAAGGGGUGGAAAAUGAGUAUUAUCUAGGAUCAAAAAAAAUUCUACAAGAAUGUGGGCAUCAUCACAAGAAAAACAUAUAUAGUAUCUUAUUACUCACUGCAUGAUUAUUACAGAGCACACUAUACACGCUAUAAAAUGGGUCAGGUUGACUUACGUAUGCUGGAGGGGCUGGGAUGAAAUAAUGAAUAACUAAAGGGGCUGGGAUGAAUCUAAUGGGAAUGCCCAAGACUCAAGUCUUGCACAAAAGAGUGUUGAAUGACUUCCUGGAUGAUGCUGAACUAUUCAGGAAGGGGGUGCCAAAGAUCUUUGGCAUGAUGGGGGGAUGCUUGUGGAUGAGGAUGAAAAACAAAUGCCUGUGGAGUGGUCUGAGCAGGAGGCUAGCCAUGAAUAUCCAGAUGGGUACAGGGAAUAAGAGCAGGGGUCCUGGUUGGAGAUGCUCCUUAAAGGACUCCAUCAGAGACCUUUGCAAGUUCAGAUUUGGUUUAGACAUGGGCUGAGAGUGGAGCUGGUUCUCAUCUUAUUGGAAUUGCCUUCCAUCCUUAAACUGUAUACAUCUGAGGUCACAAUCUGGCUCUCUCAGAAGUACAGCAACUAUUGUAUGGGACACUGCCAUCUAUCCUUCUUCCACUCACAUGUUGUUGUGGAAAACAGUUGUUCUGCU